rnacentral:rRNA from 1 species
GAUAAACGCUGGCGGCGUGCAUUAUGCAUGCAAGUCGAACGGUGCCGCAAGGCACAGUGGCAAACGGGUGAGUAACACGUAAGUAACCUGCCUCUGAGUGGGGAAUAACUUCGGGAAACUGAGGCUAAUACCGCAUACGGUGGACUCUCGAUGGAGGGUUCACUAAAGCCGCAAGGCGCUCGGAGAGGGGCUUGCGUCCGAUUAGCUAGUUGGUGGGGUAACGGCCUACCAAGGCUGUGAUCGGUAGCUGGUCUGGGAGGAUGGUCAGCCACACUGGGACUGGGAAACGGCCCAGACUCCUACGGGAGGCAGCAGCAAGGAAUUUUGCGAAAUGGGCGAAAGCCUGACGCAGCAACGCCGCGUGAGGGACGAAGGCCUUCGGGUUGUAAACCUCUUUUGUCAGGGACGAAUAAUGACGGUACCUGGCGAAUAAGCUUCGGCUAACUACGUGCCAGCCGCCGCAGUAAAAC